CAGGGAGGUGAGGGGAGAGCAGCACCUCAUCAAACAGCAGGAAACGAGGGUAAUGAUGGUUGCCAAGGUGAUCAAAAUCCAGCCCAGCAUCUUCAUGUAAUUAUUUAAAAGGAAAACAGAAAGCAUCAAUGCUUCGAAUAUUCAAGAAAUAGCCAUAGUAAGAGGGAUUCCCCACAAAACAGGACCAAACUGUGGACAAGAUAUAGUUUCUGGACGUAGUACUGAGCACUUUAGAUAUAUUAGCUGAUUUAUUCCUCACACCGAUUCUAUGCAGUUGAUCCCAUUAAUAUCCCCAUUUUACAUCUGAGAAAAGUGAAGCAUGGAGAAGCUACCUAACUUGCUGAAGGUUUUGCAGGUUACUAAACAGCAAAGCAAGACUUAAACCCAGACAAUAUGAGCAGCAGCCGGAUGUGAAACAUUUCCCAUGAUAGUUACUAUGGGAGAGGAUAACAGGGAAAAAAAAUCAAGAACUUACUUGUGACUGGAAUCUGUGCAGAAGAGCUACUUCAUCUCUUACCA